GCCUUCAUGGUGUAAUGGUCAGCACGCUCGACGGGUAACCGGGAGGUCCGUGGUUCGAUUCCCGGUGAAGGUG
rnacentral:tRNA from 1 species